GAUGAACGCUAGCGAUAGGCCUAACACAUGCAAGUCGAGGGGCAGCACAUGAAGUAGCAAUACCGAUGGUGGCGACCGGCGCACGGGUGAGUAACACGUAUGCAACCUACCUUCCACAGGAGGAUAACCCGUUGAAAGACGGGCUAAUACUCCAUAACACAGGGGUCCCGCAUGGGAAUAUUUGUUAAAGAUUUUUCGGUAGAAGAUGGGCAUGCGUUCCAUUAGCUAGUUGGUUGAGGUAACGGCUCACCAAGGCAACGAUGGAUAGGGGAACUGAGAGGUUUAUCCCCCACACUGGUACUGAGACACGGACCAGACUCCUACGGGAGGCAGCAGUGAGGAAUAUUGGUCAAUGGAGGCAACUCUGAACCAGCCACGUCGCGUGAAGGAUGACGGCCCUACGGGUUGUAAACUUCUUUUAUACAGGAAUAAAGUGAGUCACGUGUGACUUUUUGCAUGUACUGUAUGAAUAAGGAUCGGCUAACUCCGUG
rnacentral:rRNA from 1 species